CACUUAAUAAAAUAAAUAGAUUGCAUAAUGCCACUGGUCACUCAUCAGCCACCAACCUUGGCAAUUCACUUCUCUGACAGUCUGUUUCCUUCUUUUCUAGCUGGGCCAAUCACUGCUAUCUCCCAAGAUACCCUGGUUGAAAGAUGUUUGGGAAAGGUUUCAAGUACUAUCUGGAGUAAAAGGUGUUACUGUUGGGAUACAUGACAAUGAGCUUCUACGGUCAGAUAUUCAUUUGAGUUUGAACUUGGGAUACGUGUUGAGAAAACCAGUUCUGCUCAAUUUUUAAAUCCUAGGACACUCGAAUAAUAUUCCAUUGUCUGGAUGUGCCACACAGUUUGUUUAUUUAUUCACCUAUUGAAAGACAUCUUGGUUGCUUCCAAGUUUGGGAAUUAUAAGUAAAAUUGCUGUAAACAUCGGUGUGCAGGUCUUUCUGUGGACAUAUAUUUUCAACUCACUUGGGUAAGUACUAAGGAAUACAAUUGCUCGAUGCGAUGGUAAGGGUAUGUGUUGUUUUGCAGUGCAUCACCAAACUGCCUUCCAAAGUGGCUGUAUCAUUCCCCCACCAUUUUAAGGCACAGCCUGGCCAGCCAUGCCAGGAUGUAGCAUUGACUUCUUAGAUAGGUGAACAUCCCAAUUCUUUGUGCCUAUCUUGAGAUAUGCUAUUAUGGACAAUCACAUUCCAAGGCAGCAUAGGGCAAAUUCCUAUGUUUCAUGCUCAGUUUAACAAAUGUGUGUUAUUAGAGGGUGUGUCUGGAUGGAGGUAACUUAUACUGUGUCCAACUCACCUAUUGCUAUGUUGGCGUGUGAAAGUUGAGAAGUGCCACGAUGUGUUUGCACCUGUAAGACAGGGAAGGCGUGGCUGUCUCUUCUUCCUGAAAAAGCCUCUUGGCUUUGACACUGCCCAUUGGUGUCUCUUUCCCCUUUGCUGUUGCUCUCCUGAGGACAUGUUGGUCAUUCCUCCUCAUUCACUGGGGAUUCGCCUCCUGACUCAUAGUUUUCCUUUUCUUACCCCACCAUAAUAUCCACCCCCGACUUCUCAGUUCCUUUACCUUCUCAUCUCUAACAACAUUUUUCUCACCUUCCACCAGCAACCCACUACCCAUAAUCACCCUCAGAGCCUUCACAGCAACAGAAUCUACAUGCCUCAGACAUCUCAGUUUCAAACAACUCACCCUUUCAGCACCACAACUUACAUUUUCUGAUUCACUCACCACAAUUCCUUGAAGUCACAGGGCCUGCAAUCUCUUGACUUUUCCUUUGUCUCACAGCCCAUCAGCCCCUCUGUUUUCUCAUCACCCCUCAUUAAUGUAAACCCCAGGAUCCAUCUUCUCACCAGGCCCCUGAACUUUCUUCUGUUAUUUGCUCCUACCCAGCAGACCCCAAUCCUGACUGAAAUUCACUCUGCCUUCUCCAUGCCUGUCCUGAGUAGCUCCAAGUUGCUGAUUAACAACCACUGGCCAGGCUGAGUGGCAUCAUUUGAAGCCAUCAUCUCAAGCUGCAGGGGGACAUUCAUGCUCCUGACACGCCUGUUAUACUUUACUAGUUAAUGUUUCCACUUUCUGAAGUGCUCCUUCAUAUCUUUUUUUUGUCUUCAAAUCUCCUACACUGUUCCCCUGAAUCCUGGCUAAUGGGUAGCCUCUAUCUCCCUGAGAAUACAGAAGCCAGACAAGAGUUCUCUUCUUUCCUCACACCAGUUUAGAAGUGCAUCUGAAUUUGCAUCUGGCUUCUGAUUCCUUUCUACUACAAGAAAGAAAGCCUCCCUCUCCUAACAAAUAAUAUUUCUUCCUUGGGUUUUGGAUGAGCUCACUUUAAGGAGUUCUGGAUUAGCUCACUUCAAGGAUGAGCUCACUUCACCUCUCCCUUCCCUCUCCCUUCCCUUCAACAUCCACUCAUGCCUCUGCAUCAUCAGCCCCUCCGUCUCCACUGCAUCCUUCCUUCUUUUUUUCCCCCCUUUAAAGGAGAGGGGCAAUAUAACUUACGUAAAAUAACAUAUGUAAAAAUAACAAUCCAGAAAUUUUUUGGUGUUUGUUUCUCAAUACCCACCCUCAAAUGUAACCACUUUUCUGAUUUCUAUUAGAAAAUAGAUUAAUUUUCCCUGAUUUUGGACUUCCUAUAACUGGAAUAAUAUGGUAUAUAUUUUUUGGUAUCUGGCUUCUUUUGUUCAAUACAACAUAUUUGUGAUUAAUCCAUGCUGUUGUGUAGGUCAAUCAUCUUUAUUGCUGAGUAGUAUUCCAUUGCAAGGUCAUACCAUAAUUUGCUUAUCCAUUCUUCUGUUGGUGGAAAUUGCAGGUGUUACCAGAUUUGAGCUCCUAUAAACAAGGCUGCUCUGGACAUUCUUGUACAGGUCUUUUGGUGGAAAUAUACUUUCCUUUUCAUUUGGAACUUCUGGUCAUAGAAUAGGUGUAUAUUUAACUUUAUUAGGAGCUAACAGACAGCUCUUCAAAGUGGCUAUACCAUUUUGCAUUCUCAUAAAAGCAGUGUAUGAGGGUUCUGGUUGCUUAACUUCCUCCACAAAUAUAGGAUAAUCAGUCAUUUUGAUUUUAGUGAUUCUAAUGGGUGUGAAAAGUGCUUUGGGGUCAUAAGAUUAGCCCCCAUUAGAAGUUAUCUAUUAUUAUUAUCACCAGAUCACGACUCAAACAUUUUUAAUAAAGGGCACCUGAGUUCCUUCUUUAUUGUAA